rnacentral:snRNA from 1 species
CGGCCAGCCCAAUAUACUAAAAUUGGGACAAUACAGAGGAGAUUGGCAUGGCCCCAUGUAAGGAUGACAGGCAAAUUCAUGAAGCAUUCCAUAUCAAA